rnacentral:rRNA from 1 species
GAUGAACGCUAGCGGCAGGCCUAAUACAUGCAAGUCGAACGGUCCGCUUCGGCGGAUAGUGGCGCACGGGUGCGUAACACGUAUGCAACCUACCUUACAUUGGGGGAUAGCCUUUCGAAAGGGAGAUUAAUACCGCAUAAGACAGUAGCUGGGCAUCCAGUAGCUGUUAAAGAUUUAUCGAUGUAAGCUGGGCAUGCGUCCAAUUAGUUAGUUGGUGAGGUAACGGCUCACCAAGACGAUGAUUGGUAGGGGAACUGAGAGGUCAAUCCCCCACACUGGCACUGGGAGACGGGCCAGACUGCUACGGGAGGCAGCAGUAGGGAAUAUUGGGCAAUGGACGCAAGUCUGACCCAUCCAUGCCGCGUGCAGGAAGAAGGCGUUCUGCGUUGUAAACUGCUUUUAUAUAGGAAGAAACGACCCUUGCGAGGGGCAUUGACGGUAUUAUAUGAAUAAGCACCGGCUAACUCCGUGCCAGCAGCCGCGGUAACAC